GAUGAACGCUAGCGGCAGGCUUAACACAUGCAAGUCGAGGGCGAUUGAUAUUAGCAAUAGUAUUAAUUGACCGGCGGAAGGGUGCGUAACGCGUGAGUAACAUACCCGUUACAGAGGGAUAGUCGAUGGAAACGUCGUAUAAUACCUCAUAGUAUAGAUUUAUCCCCUGAUAGAUUUAUUAAAUCGUAAGAGGUAACGGAGUGGCUCGCGUCCCAUUAGUUAGUUGGCGUGGUAACGGCACACCAAGACAACGAUGGGUAGGGGUUCUGAGAGGAAGGUCCCCCACACUGGAACUGAGACACGGUCCAGACUCCUACGGGAGGCAGCAGUGAGGAAUAUUGGUCAAUGGGCGGAAGCCUGAACCAGCCAUGCCGCGUGCAGGAAUAGAUCCCUAUGGGACAUAAACUGCUUUUGAUACUGAGCAAGAGCAUAUACGUGUAUAUGAGUGAGAGUAAGUAUCGAAUAAGCAUCGGCUAACUCCGUGCCAGCAGCCGCGGUAAUACGGGGGAUGCAAGCGUUAUCCGGAAUUAUUGGGUUUAAAGGGUGCGUAGGCUGUGCGGUGCGUCUGUGGUUAAAGGCCUCUGCUUAACGGAGCGUAUGCCAUAGAAACGGCCGUGCUUGAUAGUGAUUGCCGUGGGAGGAAUGUGUGGUGUAUGGGUGAAAUGCAUAGAUAUCACACAGAACACCGAUUUGUGAUGGCGUCUUACAAAUUAUAUUUGACGCUGAAGCACGAGAGCGUGGGAAUCAAUGGGAUGUGAUACCUGGGUAGUCCAUGGACGAAUUCCACGUGGAGUGCUAGGUUUGGUGUUCCUUCGACCUGCGAGGGAAAGAACAAGAACUAUGAUUUUGUUCCUUUUUAUUAGUGUUGUGUGAGUUGUUUCUUUAUUUGCCUGUGUGUGUUGUUGUGUUGUAUAUUGUGUGUGUUCUGUGUGCUAUUAGUACUGUGUGUGUGUGUAUGUUGUGUUGUGUUGUUUGCUUCUUAUGUUGUCCUGCAUUGUUAUUGCUGAU
rnacentral:rRNA from 1 species